rnacentral:rRNA from 1 species
GAUGAACGCUGGCGGCGUGCCUAAUACAUGCAAGUCGAACGGUCGGUCGCAAGGCCGAUAGUGGCGAACGGGUGAGUAACGCGUUGGUGACCUGCCCAAUAGUGGGGGAUACCAGGCCGAAAGGCCUGCUAAUACCGCAUGAGCUCGGAGGCGAUUAGAAAUCUUCGAGGAAAGCCGAAAGGCGCUAAUGGAGGGGCCUGCGUCCCAUCAGCUAGUUGGUAAGGUAACGGCUUACCAAGGCGAUGACGGGUAGGGGACCUGAGAGGGUGACCCCCCACAAUGGAACUGAAACACGGUCCAUACACCUACGGGUGGCAG